GACGUAGGGCGCGAGCGUUGUCCGGAUUUAUUGGGCGUACAGAGCUCGUAGGCGGCUUGUUGCGUCAGCUGUGAAAACCCGCAGCUCAACUGUGGGCUUGCCGCUGAUACGGGCAGGCUUGAGUUCGGUAGGGGAGACUGGAAUUCCUGGUGUAGCGGUGAAAUGCGCAGAUAUCAGGAAGAACACCCGUGGCGAAAGCGGCUCUCUGGAACGGUACUGACGCUGAGACGCGAAAGCGUGGGGAGCGAACAGG
rnacentral:rRNA from 1 species